rnacentral:rRNA from 1 species
CCUACGGGAGGCAGCAGUGAGGAAUAUUGGUCAAUGGUCGGGAGACUGAACCAGCCAAGCCGCGUGAGGGAUGAAGGUACAGAGUAUCGUAAACCUCUUUUGUCAGGGAGCAAAGGCGGGGACGUGUCCCCGGAUGAGUGUACCUGAAGAAAAAGCAUCGGCUAACUCCGUGCCAGCAGCCGCGGUAAUACGGAGGAUGCGAGCGUUAUCCGGAUUUAUUGGGUUUAAAGGGUGCGCAGGCGGUCGGGUAAGUCAGCGGUAAAAGCCCGGGGCUCAACCCCGGCCAGCCGUUGAAACUGGCAGUCUCGAGUUGGAGAGAAGUAUGCGGAAUGCGCGGUGUAGCGGUGAAAUGCAUAGAUAUCGCGCAGAACUCCGAUUGCGAAGGCAGCAUGCCGGCGCCACACUGACGCUGAGGCACGAAAGCGUGGGUAUCGAACAGGAUUAGAUACCCGGGUAGUC